rnacentral:rRNA from 1 species
AAGCCACGAGCCGAAGCCGAGGAGUGCGUAAGCACUGGUAGCAGAGCGUAGUGUGACAUAGUCUCAUUCCUCCUUAGCGGGUUCGCCCGCCUUGGAGGAGAGAGGCUUUCGAUGAAGCCGGGGCGUGAGCCAUCCGGUGGAGAGAUCACUAGUGAGAAUGAUGACAUGAGUAGCGACAAAGAGUGUGAGAGACACUCUCGCCGAAAGUCCAAGGGUUCCUGCUUAAAGCUAAUCUGAGCAGGGUAAGCCGGCCCCUAAGGCGAGGCCGAAAGGCGUAGCCGAUGGGAACCAGGUUAAUAUUCCUGGGCCGCGAGGUGGUGACGGAUUGCGAAGGUUGUUCAUCCUUAUCGGAUUGGAUGGGCCGCUUAGCAGUUCCUGGAAAUAGCCCCUCGAUCAGACCGUACCCUAAACCAACACAGGUGGACUGGUAGAGCAUACCAAGGCGCUUGAGAGAACGAUGUUGAAGGAACUCGGCAAAAUGCCUCCGUAAGUUCGCGAGAAGGAGGCCCGCUUCGAAGGCAACUUCGGGGCGGGGGCACAAACUAGGGGGUGGCGACUGUUUACUAAAAACACAGGGCUCUGCGAAGUCGCAAGACGACGUAUAGGGUCUGACGCCUGCCCGGUGCCUGAAGGUUAAAAGGAGAGGUGAGAGCCUUGAAUUGAAGCCCAGGUAAACGGCGGCCGUAACUAUAACGGUCCUAAGGUAGCGAAAUUCCUUGUCGGGUAAGUUCCGACCUGCACGAAUGGCGUAACGACUUCCCCGCUGUCUCCAACAUCGACUCAGCGAAAUUGAAUUGCCUGUCAAGAUGCAGGCUUCCCGCGGUUAGACGGAAAGACCCCGUGCACCUUUACUACAGCUUCGCACUGGCAUCAGGAUUGGGAUGUGCAGGAUAGUUGGUAGGCUUCGAAGCAGGGACGCCAGUCUCUGUGGAGCCAUCCUUGAGAUACCAACCUUCGCACUCUUGAUGUCUAACCGCGGUCCGUUAUCCGGAUCCGGGACCCUGCGUGGCGGGUAGUUUGACUGGGGCGGUCGCCUCCUAAAGCGUAACGGAGGCGCGCGAAGGUUGGCUCAGAGCGGUCGGAAAUCGCUCGUUGAGUGUAAUGGCAGAAGCCAGCCUGACUGCGAGACUGACAAGUCGAGCAGAGUCGAAAGACGGCCAUAGUGAUCCGGUGGUCCCGAGUGGAAGGGCCAUCGCUCAACGGAUAAAAGGUACGCCGGGGAUAACAGGCUGAUACUGCCCAAGAGUCCAUAUCGACGGCAGUGUUUGGCACCUCGAUGUCGGCUCAUCUCAUCCUGGGGCUGGAGCAGGUCCCAAGGGUACGGCUGUUCGCCGUUUAAAGAGGUACGUGAGCUGGGUUUAGAACGUCGUGAGACAGUUCGGUCCCUAUC